AUUGAACGCUGGCGGCAGGCCUAACACAUGCAAGUCGAGCGAGCGGCGGACGGGUGAGUAAUGUCUGGGAAACUGCCUGAUGGAGGGGGAUAACUACUGGAAACGGUAGCUAAUACCGCAUACCAUCAGAUGUGCCCAGAGGGGAUUGGCUAGUAGGUGGGUUAACGGCUCACCUAGGCGACGAUCCCUAGCUGGGCUGAGAGGAUGACCAGGCAAACUGGAACUGAGGCACGGUCCAGACGCCUACGGGAGUCAGCAGUGGUGAAGAUGGGACAAUGGGCGCAAGCCUGAUGCAGCCAUGCCGCGAGUGUGAAGAAGGCCUGCGGGUUGUAAAGCACUUUCAGCGGGGAGGCGUUACCCGCAGAAGAAGCACCGGCUAACUCCGUGCCAGCAGCCGCGGUAAUUC
rnacentral:rRNA from 1 species